GUUCCCGGGGCUUACAAUCAA
rnacentral:tRNA from 1 species